rnacentral:rRNA from 1 species
UACGUAGGGGGCAAGCGUUGUCCGGAUUUAUUGGGCGUAAAGAGCUCGUAGGCGGUUCCGUAAGUCGGGUGUGAAAAAUCUGGGCUCAACCCAGUGGAGCACCCGAUACUGCGGUGACUCGAGUCCGGUAGGGGAGUGUGGAAUUCCUGGUGUAGCGGUGAAAUGCGCAGAUAUCAGGAGGAACACCGAUGGCGAAGGCAGGUCUCUGGGCCGAUACUGACGCUGAGGAGCGAAAGCGUGGGGAGCGAACAGG